rnacentral:lncRNA from 1 species
UCACUUUAUGCUUCUAUGUUUUGUUUUACAUCGAACAGGGAUAACAAGUUACAUUAACACGGCCACUAAGCUGUUUUAUAUUAUUUAUUUUAUUGUUAAAUAAUAUAUUUAGCCAUCUAAUCUCAUGUGAUUAUAUUUAAAUAACUAUUUUAUAUUUGAUAAUAAAAUAAUUUAGUUUAGCUGUUAUUGGGACAAUAAGUGAUAAUACUUAUUAAUAUUUAUAUGGUCACGACUUCUGAACUUUUAUAAGUUUUGGGUUUAGGGGAGUUAAUACAGGAAUCUGACCUGCUUAUAAUUAUUACUACCCAUGUUUAUAAUUCCGUUAGCUAAUGUAUAUUAUUAAUUGAGUAGGUCAGUGUAAUAUUUGGAUGUUAAUUUAGUAUGUUAGUAUUCCGGAAGUGGUCCAUGUCAAAGUAGAUAGAGUGGGACUAGUUACUGGUUUAUAAAUACGCUGGUGAUGGUUCGGAUGCACUGGUAAUAUCUUAAAGACUAAUUAAUUAACUGGAUUUGAUUAGAUAACUGAGGAGCAGCGGAGAGGAAAUUUAUUGAAUUGAUUAUUAUUAUAUCAGGUACUCUCUCUCCUUUUAUUUAAAUAAUAAAUAUUUAUUAUAUUUAUUAUUUUGACAUUCUUAAAAUCUCUUUUGUUAUUGCACAUCACUCUUUUCACUUGGCCUUCAUAUAUUUGAAUUAUUGUUGCCUUGACUCCUAUUGUUUCCUUUCGUUUUAUGAUUGUACCACUGUAUAUAUUUUGUUCAUUGAGUCGGCAACUUUUGUAAUUGUUUGGGCUCUUAAACUUAUCCGUGUGGGUAAAUCACGGACAAUGUUCACAUGGAGUUCGUAGUAAAGGUGAACUAGACACCAACUCGUAUCGGUGAUUUAAGCAUACGAGCACGUUUCUGGGGUAUGAGACGUGAGAAGAUCAUGAUCGUUAUUGUUUUG